UACGGGGGGGGCAAGCGUUGUUCGGAAUUACUGGGCGUAAAGGGCUCGUAGGCGGCCAACUAAGUCAGACGUGAAAUCCCCAGGCUUAACCUGGGAACUGCAUCCGAUACUGGAUGGCUUGAAUCCGGGAGAGGGAUGCAGAAUUCCAGGUGUAGCGGUGAAAUGCGUAGAUAUCUGGAGGAAUACCGGUGGCGAAGGCGGCAUCCUGGACAGUAACUGACGCUGAGACACGAAAGCGUGGGGAGCAAACAGG
rnacentral:rRNA from 1 species